rnacentral:misc_RNA from 1 species
CCGAGUUUACAACUCCCAAACCCCUGUGAACAUACCUAUAUGUUGUCUCGGCGGAUCAGCCCGCGCCCCGUAAAACGGGACGGCCCGCCGCAGGAUCCACAAACUCUGUUUUUAUUGUAACUUCUGAGUAACAAACAAAUAAAUCA